AAAAUAGUCAUCAGUUCUGUUUCAAACAGAGGACAGUAUAAUUAUUUACUACAGAGGAAUUAUUUCAACGGAAACGCGGUUUUAUCGGUAUAUUUAAAUUGUCUAAACAUUAUAUCUCGUCCAAUUGUAUUAAGGGCGAAAACGCAGUUGACGACGUGACGUCCAGAAAUGCUAAUUAUGUUUCAAAAUAUAUAUUUAGUAAAAUCUUUAAUUGUUAGACUGCAGCGGUUUUUCGUUUCGAUACACCAUUAAGUCUACAAACACAUGUAAAAGCACCCGAAAGUGGAGUA